GCGGUCGUGGCGGAAUAGGCAGACGCGCACGGUUGAGGGCCGUGUCCGCGAGGGUAAGGGUUCAAGUCCCUUCGACCGCACCA
rnacentral:tRNA from 1 species